rnacentral:rRNA from 1 species
UUUAGUCACCCUGAACACACCAAACUCUUCUGAUCUCAGAAGCUAAGCAGGGUCGGGCCUGCUUAGUACUUGGAUGGGAGGGGAAAAGCUGCCUUUGAAU